rnacentral:rRNA from 1 species
AACGCUGGCGGAGGCCCUAACACAUUGCAGUCGAGCGCGAAAGCACUUCGGUGUGAGUAGAGCGGCGGACCGAUAACGCGUAGAAUCUACCUGGUAGUGGGGGACAACUCGGGGAAACUCGAGCUAAUACCGCAUACGCCCUACGGGGGAAAGCGGGGGACCUUCGGGCCUCGCGCUAUCAGAUGAGCCUGCGUUGGAUUAGCUAGUUGGUGGGGUAAUGGCCUACCAAGGGCAACGAUCCAUAGCUGGUCUGAGAGGAUGAUCAGCCACACCGGGACUGAGACACGGCCCGGACUCCUACGGGAGGCAGCAGUGGGGAAUAUUUGCGCAAUGGGCGAAAAGCCUGACGCAGCCAAUGCCGCGUGUGUGAAGAAAGCCUUCGGGUUGUAAAGCAACUUUCAAUUGGGAGGAAAGGUUCACGGCUAAUACCCGUUGAGCCGUGACGUUACCUUUAGAAGAAGCACCGGCUAACUCCGUGCCAGCAGCCGCGGUAAUACGGAGGGUGCAAGCGUUAAUCGGAAUUACUGGGCGUAAAGCGCGCGUAGGUGGUCUGUUAAGUCGGAUGUGAAAGCCCCGGGCUCAAACCUGGGAACUUGCACCCGAUACU